CCCGGCUGUUCGGCCCAACCCAUAACUCCGCAUCUACUGUCGUAGGUACUAAGCUUAGCUGGGGAGCCUUUUUGAGCAUGAAUCUAUCUCAUCUCUCCUUUUCCCCUCAUAGUCGCCGAGUUCCCUGUCGAGAUUCCCUAUCUGAUUUCUAAUUUCUUGAGCAAAUCUCCAAUCUUUGAUUCUUAUGAAUUGCGAUGAUUUGGAAUGGAUAUAAAUUCAUUCACUGCACCAUUUAUGUUCCUUUAUCUCAAUUCUAAUACGUCUCAGCUUCAGCCUGUUCAGCUACAGUUGACUCUUAUUUAUAGAAAAUUUGCUCACUGUUGUGAAUGAACCAAGGGUCAAAGAAAGACCUUGAGCCUUGACUCUCAAGUCCUCUCAUCAAAAGAUUAAGGCUUGACCCUCUUCAACAUCAAAGAUGAAAUGGAAUCAUAGAUACCCUUCUGAACUUUUUGUUUACUCCUAUUAUCCCUUUUCAUAGUACUCAACUGAUUUCAAUCAUCGGCCGUUGUAGCCUUAGUCUUCAGAGUAUUUGUGAAAGGGUACAUCUGAAAUUUCUCAAAAAUGAUUGAUUUAAUAUGAAUUUAAAUUAUUACCGGC
rnacentral:sRNA from 1 species